UACGUAGGGGGCAAGCGUUGUCCGGAUUUACUGGGUGUAAAGGGCGUGUAGCCGGGUUGACAAGUCAGAUGUGAAAUCCUGCGGCUUAACCGCAGAACUGCAUUUGAAACUGUUGAUCUUGAGUACUGGAGAGGCAGACGGAAUUCCUAGUGUAGCGGUGAAAUGCGUAGAUAUUAGGAGGAACACCAGUGGCGAAGGCGGCCUGCUGGACUGCAACUGACGUUGAGGCUCGAAGGCGUGGGGAGCAAACAGG
rnacentral:rRNA from 1 species